CACCACCACCACCACCACCACCUCUUGGACUGGGCAAGAUAAGUGAACAGAAGGGGAUUUUGGGUCCUGGGCCAGCAGAUUUACGUUUCUCAGAGGCACUUUGACCUAACAAUUGGAAGGAAGCAAAAGGAGCAUAAAACACAAGAGGGUAACAACAUAGAAUGUAUUUAUCUAACUUCUUCAUGGUUGUUCAUAGGUUAACUUGCAUGCAUCCUUGUGUAACGCGUGUCUAUGUUGUGCAUGUAAUUUAGACCAAAUAGACAAUGUUUGGAACACCCUAACAGAAAUAGUAGUUUGCCUGAACCUGAUCAUUUUGUCAAGGUUUUGUGGGAAUAUUCAAUGCACAUCUUAAAUGUUUAGGUCUGUUGAGCAUUCAAACUGUUAAUUCAGAACUUCUGAAUUCUCUACUCCUCCCUUGUAGCUUGGGGAAAAAAAUUGAAUGUUAUAAAAAUGAG
rnacentral:misc_RNA from 1 species